UAGGGAAUCUUCGGCAAUGGGGGCAACCCUGACCGAGCAACGCCGCGUGAGUGAAGAAGGUUUUCGGAUCGUAAAGCUCUGUUGUAAGAGAAGAACGUGUGUGAGAGUGGAAAGUUCACACAGUGACGGUAACUUACCAGAAAGGGACGGCUAACUACGUGCCAGCAGCCGCGGUAAUACGUAGGUCCCGAGCGUUGUCCGGAUUUAUCGGGCGUAAAGCGAGCGCAGGCGGUUUAAUAAGUCUGAAGUUAAAGGCAGUGGCUUAACCAUUGUUCGCUUUGGAAACUGUUAAACUUGAGUGCAGAAGGGGAGAGUGGAAUUCCAUGUGUAGCGGUGAAAUGCGUAGAUAUAUGGAGGAACACCGGUGGCGAAAGCGGCUCUCUGGUCUGUAACUGACGCUGAGGCUCGAAAGCGUGGGGAGCAAACAGG
rnacentral:rRNA from 1 species